CACUAUCGUUAAGUGAAUACAUAGCUUAACGAAGCGAACCGGGGGAACUGAAACAUCUAAGUACCCCGAGGAAAAGAAAUCAACCGAGAUUCCCCCAGUAGCGGCGAGCGAACGGGGAGGAGCCCAGAGUCUGAAUCAGUUUGUGUGUUAGUGGAAGCGUCUGGAAAGUCGCAGGGUACAGGGUGAUACUCCCGUACACAAAAACACACAGGCUGUGAACUCGAAGAGUAGGGCGGGACACGUGGUAUCCUGUCUGAAUAUGGGGGGACCAUCCUCCAAGGCUAAAUACUCCUGACUGACCGAUAGUGAACCAGUACCGUGAGGGAAAGGCGAAAAGAACCCCGGCGAGGGGAGUGAAACAGAACCUGAAACCGUGUACGUACAAGCAGUAGGAGCCCACUUGUUGGGUGACUGCGUACCUUUUGUAUAAUGGGUCAGCGACUUAUAUUCUGUAGCAAGGUUAACCGAAUAGGGGAGCCGCAGGGAAACCGAGUCUUAACUGGGCGUUAAGUUGCAGGGUAUAGACCCGAAACCCGGUGAUCUAGCCAUGGGCAGGUUGAAGGUUGGGUAACACUAACUGGAGGACCGAACCGACUAAUGUUGAAAAAUUAGCGGAUGACUUGUGGCUGGGGGUGAAAGGCCAAUCAAACCGGGAGAUAGCUGGUUCUCCCCGAAAGCUAUUUAGGUAGCGCCUCGUGAA
rnacentral:rRNA from 1 species